rnacentral:misc_RNA from 1 species
AAGUCGUAACAAGGUCUCCGUAGGUGAACCUGCGGAGGGAUCAUCAAAGAAAUAAUAAUAAUAUUUUAAACCCCAAGUGUUAGGGAAAGAAAGGGGGAGAAAGAGCAUUGCUAUUUUUCCUUGUUUCUUUUUCUAAUGCUUCAAACAAACGAUCACAACUAGAAAGAGAGAGAGAGGAAAUGGAUACUUGGUUUUUAAUAAGUGCUUGCCUGAUAAUCUGAUUAUUGGAAUUGGAAAGAGAAACAAAUAUACAACUUUCAACAACGGAUCUCUUGGCUCUCA